GGUUCUUCAAAGACAGUCAGGUACGGGUUCCUCAAAGACAGUCAAGUACGGAAGACUUUACAUUUUGCAUUUUAAGGUUCUUCAAAGACAGUGAGGUACGGGUUCUUCAAAGACAGUCAGGUACGGAAGACUUCACAUUUUGCAUUUUAAGGUUCUUCAAAGCACUAUUCGCUCCUAUGUCAGUAUUUGUCCGGUUUGAGGUCACAGGCUCUCUGGUUACCCGUGAUAACUCCUUUCCUCACUCUCUCCUUCCCUCCUUCCCUCCCUUCAUAUUUCCUUCCUUAUUUCCCUGCUUUUCUCGUUUUAAGGUAAUGAGAAGAAGUAAGAAGUGGAGCCUUCCCUGCGAUUACUGGCUGGUGAAUUGAGUUACGAGGGUUACAGAAAAAAAAAAAAAUCUUCCGAGAAAGCUACUUCGUCAACUGAACGCCUUGAACCUAGAUUUGAACGCAUUUGACCCGUCUUUGAACGCAUUUGACCCGUCUUUGAACGCAUUUGACCCGUCUUUGAACGCAUUUGACCCGUCUUUGAACGCAUUUGACCCGUCUUUGAACGCAUUUGACCCGUCUUUGAACGCAUUUGACCCGUCUUUGAACGCAUUUGACCCGUCUUUGAACGCAUUUGACCCGUCUUUGAACGCAUUUGACCCGUCUUUGAACGCAUUUGACCCGUCUUUCGGCCACCUCUUUUAGUUAUUUUUAGGAGCAGCGAGUAGCGUUUUUUUUAUUAUUGUUUCUUUUUUUUUGUGCCCUUGAGCUGUCUCCUUUGUUGUAAAAAUAAAAAUAAAUGCACACGCCCAAUGCUUGCCAGAGUUGAUAUUGAGAAGUUAAGUAAUACAAUCAUCUCUUAUAAGCGUGAGACCAAAUAGACCAAACUACAUCUUGAGCGUCAAUGUUAAGGAAUCAGACUCCAGAAAAAAACAAAAAAGAAAACAAGCAAACAAAAACAAAACGAAGCAAGAUCAAGGUUUCCCACGACUGCCCAAAAAAGCUGAUUGACAACAGGACCGGGACGCGACUAUUACCUCUUAUGUCAGUGUGUGUGUGUGUGUGUGGACGAGAUCUGAAUACUAAAACGACUGUCGAUCAUCCUUGCAAGACCUCAAUGGAUUCCCAGAGACAGACAGACAGAUAGACAGAUAGACAGACAGACAGACUUACCACGAUUCAAAACAGAUGAUUGUGUGUGUGUGUGUGACAGAAUGACCUCUUACGCCGGUGUGUGUAUGUGUGUGUGUGUGUGUGUGUGUGUGUGUGUGUGUGUGUGUGUGUGUGUGUGUGUGUGUGUGUGUGUGUGUGUGUGUGUGUGUGUGUGUGUGUGUGUGUGUGUGUGUGUGUGUGUGUGUGUGUGUGUGUGUGUGUGUGUGUGUGAGUGUGUGUGGGCUUGUGGGG